CGGAGGGUGCGAGCGUUAAUCGGAAUGACUGGGCGUAAAGGGCACGCAGGCGGAUUGUUAAGUGAGAUGUGAAAGCCCCGGGCUUAACCUGGGAAUUGCAUUUCAGACUGGCAAUCUAGAGUAUUUUAGGGAGGGGUAGAAUUCCACGUGUAGCGGUGAAAUGCGUAGAGAUGUGGAGGAAUACCGAAGGCGAAGGCAGCCCCUUGGGAAUAUACUGACGCUCAUGUGCGAAAGCGUGGGGAGCAAACAGGAUU
rnacentral:rRNA from 1 species